UUACCAUGCAUUAAAAUCAACGCCUUAAAGUGGUAGCCGCGCUGGUCUGAUCAGAUGUUGUUCAGCGGGCUCUUCUAUUUAACGCCCAGAUUAUCUUUAUUUUAAUACCAGGAGUCACAUCUCCCUGGGUGAUCGACCAUUUCAAACACUGUUGGUCGCCUGCUUCCCGGCACCAAAGACCCCGGUCAAUCCAGAUGUCAAUGCGGUGUCAGAAACACCGCGCGCCAGAUGAUCGCCGAACACGGACUCAAGCUGGACAUUGGAGCCGAGCGGUUCCCUCCGCACGGCCAAGUAGGGUCGCAGGAGUUCCAGAGCCUGUCCCAGAAGCUACCGGUGCAAGAUAGGGAACAGCCCAGGGCGGGGUGCCAACCCAUCGCAGGGCACACUCACACACAAUUCACUCAUAGACGGGCAGUUUGCUAACUCCAAUUAACCUCUGCAUAUUAUUGGACUGUGAGGGGAAAUUGAAGUACCUGGAGGAAACCCCACGAUGACACGGGGAGAACGUGCAAACUCCACACACAUGGAGCUUUGGUGGAGACUCGAACCUGGGUCCCAGAGGUGUGAGCAUAUUGAAGUCCUUCAUGGUUCCCAAAGCCAUGGAGACAGGCAUCACCAGUGGUGAUUAUCCCUCAAAUGCCAAGACUUUGAACCCCACACAGCCUUGAGCCCAGAAGAGGGCUCUUGUUUCAGGUCUGGGUUGCACCGGACAGGAUUUGGCCAGUGGUGUUGAGAGCUCUCCUGCCAAUUAAGAUUAGCUUCAUCACCUGAGGUGAUCCACUAGGACCCCAUUGUCCUGCUGAUCACACGUGAAGGUCCCCGGAGAAGCUGGAGGCCACGAGGACCUUAAGCUGCAGGGAGUGAUGUACCAGGAGCCGUCUCUGAAGAUGUCCACUCUACAGGUUCCCAUUUUGCCUUUUUAUCCCUGAAAAUAUUGUCAUUGUAGGGGAGGUCAUCCACCAUGGAUGAUUAACAACAACCACCUUAUAAACUUGGAUGUGUUUUCAGUGUGUUUAGUAUGAAUAUUCAAUAUUGAUUCAUAUUUGAAAAAUCAAGGAAAAUUUCGGUCUUGUUAUUAGAACAUUGGAAAUUCGGAGUGGGGGGGGGGGGGGCAGAAUCAUGUGUCAGGCCCAUUCAUUCAUUCAUUCAUUCACUCAGUAAUUCAUUCAUUCAGUCUCCUGGAUCUUAUUACUGAUGAAUAUAAGAUUGGGUUCUUUGUUCCCCCCAUUGGAACCCUGUUCAGGACCUAACCCCUAUUUUUCCUGCAUUGUUCCUUCACACAGAAGAUGAAAUGUCUGUGUUGUUUAAUUUCCUCUGAGGUUUUUUUUAACCACUUCACUCGUGUUCCCAAAAAAAUCACCCUUCCUCAUUUCCCUGUGCCACAUGAUUCUGGUCACCGUCCUGCCUGGAUCAAGCUCUUGGGAAUUUUACUUAGACAAAAAUGGUCUGAGGGCAGAAGAAAAAAUGAUUUGUUCAGAGAUAGCCAAUCAGAUUGU